rnacentral:rRNA from 1 species
CUGUGAGCUCGAUGAGUAGGGCGGGACACGUGGUAUCCUGUCUGAAUAUGGGGGGACCAUCCUCCAAGGCUAAAUACUCCUGACUGACCGAUAGUGAACCAGUACCGUGAGGGAAAGGCGAAAAGAACCCCGGCGAGGGGAGUGAAAAAGAACCUGAAACCGUGUACGUACAAGCAGUGGGAGCACGCUUAGGCGUGUGACUGCGUACCUUUUGUAUAAUGGGUCAGCGACUUAUAUUCUGUAGCAAGGUUAACCGAAUAGGGGAGCCGAAGGGAAACCGAGUCUUAACUGGGCGUUAAGUUGCAGGGUAUAGACCCGAAACCCGGUGAUCUAGCCAUGGGCAGGUUGAAGGUUGGGUAACACUAACUGGAGGACCGAACCGACUAAUGUUGAAAAAUUAGCGGAUGACUUGUGGCUGGGGGUGAAAGGCCAAUCAAACCGGGAGAUAGCUGGUUCUCCCCGAAAGCUAUUUAGGUAGCGCCUCGUGAAUUCAUCUCCGGGGGUAGAGCACUGUUUCGGCAAGGGGGUCAUCCCGACUUACCAACCCGAUGCAAACUGCGAAUACCGGAGAAUGUUAUCACGGGAGACACACGGCGGGUGCUAACGUCCGUCGUGAAGAGGGAAACAACCCAGACCGCCAGCUAAGGUCCCAAAGUCAUGGUUAAGUGGGAAACGAUGUGGGAAGGCCCAGACAGCCAGGAUGUUGGCUUAGAAGCAGCCAUCAUUUAAAGAAAGCGUAAUAGCUCACUGGUCGAGUCGGCCUGCGCGGAAGAUGUAACGGGGCUAAACCAUGCACCGAAGCUGCGGCAGCGACGCUUAUGCGUUGUUGGGUAGGGGAGCGUUCUGUAAGCCUGCGAAGGUGUGCUGUGAGGCAUGCUGGAGGUAUCAGAAGUGCGAAUGCUGACAUAAGUAACGAUAAAGCGGGUGAAAAGCCCGCUCGCCGGAAGACCAAGGGUUCCUGUCCAACGUUAAUCGGGGCAGGGUGAGUCGACCCCUAAGGCGAGGCCGAAAGGCGUAGUCGAUGGGAAACAGGUUAAUAUUCCUGUACUUGGUGUUACUGCGAAGGGGGGACGGAGAAGGCUAUGUUGGCCGGGCGACGGUUGUCCCGGUUUAAGCGUGUAGGCUGGUUUUCCAGGCAAAUCCGGAAAAUCAAGGCUGAGGCGUGAUGACGAGGCACUACGGUGCUGAAGCAACAAAUGCCCUGCUUCCAGGAAAAGCCUCUAAGCAUCAGGUAACAUCAAAUCGUACCCCAAACCGACACAGGUGGUCAGGUAGAGAAUACCAAGGCGCUUGAGAGAACUCGGGUGAAGGAACUAGGCAAAAUGGUGCCGUAACUUCGGGAGAAGGCACGCUGAUAUGUAGGUGAAGUCCCUCGCGGAUGGAGCUGAAAUCAGUCGAAGAUACCAGCUGGCUGCAACUGUUUAUUAAAAACACAGCACUGUGCAAACACGAAAGUGGACGUAUACGGUGUGACGCCUGCCCGGUGCCGGAAGGUUAAUUGAUGGGGUUAGCGCAAGCGAAGCUCUUGAUCGAAGCCCCGGUAAACGGCGGCCGUAACUAUAACGGUCCUAAGGUAGCGAAAUUCCUUGUCGGGUAAGUUCCGACCUGCACGAAUGGCGUAAUGAUGGCCAGGCUGUCUCCACCCGAGACUCAGUGAAAUUGAACUCGCUGUGAAGAUGCAGUGUACCCGCGGCAAGACGGAAAGACCCCGUGAACCUUUACUAUAGCUUGACACUGAACAUUGAGCCUUGAUGUGUAGGAUAGGUGGGAGGCUUUGAAGUGUGGACGCCAGUCUGCAUGGAGCCGACCUUGAAAUACCACCCUUUAAUGUUUGAUGUUCUAACGUUGACCCGUAAUCCGGGUUGCGGACAGUGUCUGGUGGGUAGUUUGACUGGGGCGGUCUCCUCCUAAAGAGUAACGGAGGAGCACGAAGGUUGGCUAAUCCUGGUCGGACAUCAGGAGGUUAGUGCAAUGGCAUAAGCCAGCUUGACUGCGAGCGUGACGGCGCGAGCAGGUGCGAAAGCAGGUCAUAGUGAUCCGGUGGUUCUGAAUGGAAGGGCCAUCGCUCAACGGAUAAAAGGUACUCCGGGGAUAACAGGCUGAUACCGCCCAAGAGUUCAUAUCGACGGCGGUGUUUGGCACCUCGAUGUCGGCUCAUCACAUCCUGGGGCUGAAGUAGGUCCCAAGGGUAUGGCUGUUCGCCAUUUAAAGUGGUACGCGAGCUGGGUUUAGAACGUCGUGAGACAGUUCGGUCCCUAUCUGCCGUGGGCGCUGGAGAACUGAGGGGGGCUGCUCCUAGUACGAGAGGACCGGAGUGGACGCAUCACUGGUGUUCGGGUUGUCAUGCCAAUGGCACUGCCCGGUAGCUAAAUGCGGAAGAGAUAAGUGCUGAAAGCAUCUAAGCACGAAACUUGCCCCGAGAUGAGUUCUCCCUGACUCCUUGAGAGUCCUGAAGGAACGUUGAAGACGACGACGUUGAUAGGCCGGGUGUGUAAGCGCAGCGAUGCGUUGAGCUAACCGGUACUAAUGAACCGUGAGGCUUAACCUUACAACGCCGAAGGUGUUU